rnacentral:rRNA from 1 species
GUGCCAGCAGCCGCGGUAAUACGUAGGGUGCGAGCGUUGUCCGGAAUUAUUGGGCGUAAAGGGCUCGUAGGCGGUUUGUCGCGUCGGGAGUGAAAACACUGGGCUUAACUCAGUGCUUGCUUCCGAUACGGGCAGACUAGAGGUAUUCAGGGGAGAACGGAAUUCCUGGUGUAGCGGUGAAAUGCGCAGAUAUCAGGAGGAACACCGGUGGCGAAGGCGGUUCUCUGGGAAUGUCCUGACGCUGAGGAGCGAAAGUGUGGGGAGCGAACAGGAUUAGAAACCCUGGUAGUCC